rnacentral:misc_RNA from 1 species
GAUGAAGAACGUAGCGAAAUGCGAUAAGUAAUGCGAAUUGCAGAAUUUCCGUGAAUCAUCGAAUCUUUGAACGCACAUUGCGCCCGCGAGUAUUCUCGCGGGCAUGCCUGUCCGAGCGUCAUUUCAACCCUCAGGGCCCGCCUGCUUCGGCAGGCGCGGCGCUGGUGUUGGGGAUCGGCCUAACCGCCGUCCCCCAAAUACAGUGGCGGUCUCGCUGCAGCCUCCCCUGCGUAGUAGCAACACUCGCAUGCGGAGCGCGGCGCGGCCACGCCGUAAAACCCCCGACUUUCUGAACGUUGACCUCGGAUCAGGUAGGAAUACCCGCUGAACUUAAGCAUAUCAAUAAGCGGAGGA